GAGAACAAUAAGAACGCGGUGUUCUUGCUCAUUGAUGAGCUCCACUGCGCAUCUUCAUGGCAAUGGUGUAUAAGUUGAUACUCUAUUUCGAUUCUAAGUGAUUGGCACGUGGGGGGUGGCGUUGUUACUAUCUGAUCCUGAUGGUGUCCAUGCAUAGAUCAGCAACCCCAGAACAAGAAUAACAGCUCCAGCUACGAACCCUGAUGGAAGAGCGGAAGCGACACCGAUGUAUGGGAGUGGCAAGGUGAACAUAUAGACUGAUAUUGGCACUGAAAAUGUGGAUGCAAGAG
rnacentral:misc_RNA from 1 species